rnacentral:rRNA from 1 species
GACGAACGCUGGCGGCGUGCUUAAUACAUGCAAGUCAACUUGACUUUAGAUAGCAAUAUCGAAAAGUAGGGUGGCGCACGGGUGCGUAACGCGUAGGUAAUCUGCCCUGAGGUCUGACAUAACCCGUCGAAAGGCGGGCUAACAUCAGAUGAUAUAUAAUCACGACAUCGUGGGAAUAUCAAAUCUUCGGAGCCUUGGGAUGAGCCUGCGUCUGAUUAGGUAGUUGGCGGAGUAAUAGCCCACCAAGCCUACGAUCAGUAGCUGGUCUGAGAGGAUGAUCAGCCACACUGGAACUGAGACACGGUCCAGACUCCUACGGGAGGCAGCAGUAAGGAAUAUUGCUCAAUGGGGAAACCCUGAAGCAGCAACGCCGCGUGAA